rnacentral:rRNA from 1 species
AUUGAACGCUGGCGGCAGGCCUAACACAUGCAAGUCGAACGAGUGGCGGACGGGUGAGUAAUGUAUGGGAAACUGCCCGAUGGAGGGGGAUAACUACUGGAAACGGUAGCUAAUACCGCAUACUAUCAGAUGUGCCCAGAUGGGAUUAGCUUGUUGGUGGGGUAAAGGCUCACCAAGGCGAAGAUCCCUAGCUGGUCUGAGAGGAUGACCAGCCACACUGGGACUGAGACACGGUCCAGACUCCUACGGGAGGCAGCAGUGGGGAAUAUUGCACAAGGGGGGCAACCCUGAGACAGCCAUGCCGCGUGUAUGAAGAAGGCCUUCGGGUUGUAAAGUGCUUUCGUUGGGGAGGCGUUAACCACAGAAGAAGCACCGGCUAACUCCGUGCCAGCCGCCGCGGUAAUUC